UUGAUUCAAUGGGAGGAAGAAGAGUCUUGUCUUGCACUAAUGUGGGAACCAUAACCCCCACUUUAUAACACAAGAGUUACAUAACCCAAGAGUCACAAGGGUUACAAGAGUUACAUAACUCAAGAGUCACAAGCAUGUAACCAUGGUUACAUAUAUGUAACCUUAGUUAGCCCAUCAUAAACUAAGGUUACCCCUUUGGAUAUCUACACAUUAGUCCUACACUUUAUAUGACAACACAUUGCCCCCCUUAACAUAAUGUCCAUAAGACCACAAAAUUAGGCCAAACCAAAAGAUAGCACAUAACAUAUAAUUUAUCCAUAUAUN
rnacentral:lncRNA from 1 species